GUUAGGAAUAUUGGACAAUGGGCGCAAGCCUGAUCCAGCCAUGCCGCGUGAACGAUGAAGGCCUUCGGGUUGUAAAGUUCUUUAGCCGAUGAUUAUAAUGACUGUAGUCGGAAAAUAAGCCCCGGCUAACUUCGUGCCAGCAGCCGCGGUAAUACGCAGGGGGCGAGCGUUAUUCGGAAUCACUGGGCGUCAAGCGUGCGUAGGCGGUCUCGUAAGUUAGGAGUGAAAGCCCAGGGCUCAACCUUGGAAUUGCUCUUAAAACUGCAAGGAUAGAAUCUCGGAGAGGAUAGCGGAAUUUCCAGUGUAGCAGUGAAAUGCGUAGAUAUUGGAAGGAACACCAGUGGCGUAAGCGGCUAUCUGGACGAGUAUUGACGCUGAGGCACGAAAGCGUGGGGAUCAAACAGGAUUAGAAACCCCGGUAGUCC
rnacentral:rRNA from 1 species